ACCGGUGUGUCCGAGUGGUUAAGGAGUCUGACUCGAAAUCAGAUGGGCUCUGCCCGCACAGGUUCAAAUCCUGUCGCCGGUG
rfam:Fonticula alba strain ATCC 38817 unplaced genomic scaffold supercont2.2, whole genome shotgun sequence.